rnacentral:rRNA from 1 species
CGCCUGUUUAUCAAAAACAUGGCUUUUUGAAAAUAAUUUAAAGUCUGGCCUGCCCACUGAGUAUUUAAAGGGCCGCGGUAAUUUGACCGUGCUAAGGUAGCAUAAUCAUUAGUUUUUUAAUUGAAAGCUGGUAUGAAUGGUCGGAUGAGAAAAUAACUGUCUCUAUUUAAUUUUAUUUGAAUUUUAUUUUUAAGUAAAAAAGCUUAAAUUAGAUUAAAAGACGAGAAGACCCUAUAGAGUUUUAUAAAAUUUUAAAUUUAAAUCUUUAGGAUUAUAAUUUUGUAUUUAAUAUUUUAUUUGAUUGGGGCGAUUGAAAAAUUUAAUAAACUUUUUUUAUAUAAAAACAUUAAUUUAUGAAUUUUUGAUCCAUUAAUGUAUGAUUAUAAGAUUAAAUUACCUUAGGGAUAACAGCGUAAUUUUUUUUGAGAGUUCAAAUCGAAAAAAAAGUUUGCGACCUCGAUGUUGGAUUAAAAUUAAUUUUUGGUGUAGAGGCUAAAAAAUUAGGUCUGUUCGACCUUUAAAAUUUUAC